rnacentral:rRNA from 1 species
UACGAAGGGGGCUAGCGUUGCUCGGAAUUACUGGGCGUAAAGCGCACGUAGGCGGCUUCUUAAGUCGGUGGUGAAAUCCUGGAGCUCAACUCCAGAACUGCCUUCGAUACUGGGAAGCUCGAGUCCGGGAGAGGUGAGUGGAACUGCGAGUGUAGAGGUGAAAUUCGUAGAUAUUCGCAAGAACACCAGUGGCGAAGGCGGCUCACUGGCCCGGGACUGACGCUGAGGUGCGAAAGCGUGGGGAGCAAACAGG